AUUGAACGCUGGCGGCAUGCUUUACACAUGCAAGUCGAACGGUAACAGGCCGCAAGGUGCUGACGAGUGGCGAACGGGUGAGUAAUGCAUCGGAACGUGCCCAGUCGUGGGGGAUAACGCAGCGAAAGCUGCGCUAAUACCGCAUACGACCUAUGGAUGAAAGCGGGGGACCGUAAGGCCUCGUGCGAUUGGAGCGGCCGAUGUCAGAUUAGGUAGUUGGUGGGGUAAAGGCUCACCAAGCCAACGAUCUGUAGCUGGUCUGAGAGGACGACCAGCCACACUGGGACUGAGACACGGCCCAGACUCCUACGGGAGGCAGCAGUGGGGAAUUUUGGACAAUGGGCGCAAGCCUGAUCCAGCAAUGCCGCGUGCAGGAAGAAGGCCUUCGGGUUGUAAACUGCUUUUGUACGGAACGAAACGGUCCUGGUUAAUACCUGGGGCUAAUGACGGUACCGUAAGAAUAAGCACCGGCUAACUACGUGCCAGCCGCCGCCGUAAGAC
rnacentral:rRNA from 1 species